GUGAAGAACGUAGCGAAAUGCGAUACGUAAUGUGAAUUGCAGAAUUCAGUGAAUCAUCGAAUCUUUGAACGCAUAUUGCGCUCUCUGGUAUUCCGGAGAGCAUGCUUGUUUGAGUAUCAGUAAACACCUCAACUUCCAUAUCUUUUUUGAAAUGGGAGUUGGACUUGAGUGAUCCCAACGCUUUUCCUCACCGAAAAGUGGCGGGUUACUUGAAAUGCAGGUGCAGCUGGACUUUUCUCUGAGCUAUAAGCAUAUCUAUUUAGUCUGCCUAAAAAACAGAUUAUUACCUUUGCUGCAGCUAACAUAAAGGAGAUUAGUUCUUGUGCUGACUGAUGCAGGAUUCACAAAGACGGCUUCGGCCGACUUUGUAAACUCGAUCUCAAAUCAAGUAAGACUACCCGCUGAACUUAAGCAUAUCAAUAAGCGGAGGA
rnacentral:misc_RNA from 1 species